rnacentral:rRNA from 1 species
UUAAGCGACUAAGCGUACACGGUGGAUGCCCUGGCAGUCAGAGGCGAUGAAGGACGUGCUAAUCUGCGAUAAGCGUCGGUAAGGUGAUAUGAACCGUUAUAACCGGCGAUUUCCGAAUGGGGAAACCCAGUGUGUUUCGACACACUAUCAUUAACUGAAUCCAUAGGUUAAUGAGGCGAACCGGGGGAACUGAAACAUCUAAGUACCCCGAGGAAAAGAAAUCAACCGAGAUUCCCCCAGUAGCGGCGAGCGAACGGGGAGCAGCCCAGAGCCUGAAUCAGURUGUGUGUUAGUGGAAGCGUCUGGAAAGGCGCGCGAUACAGGGUGACAGCCCCGUACACAAAAAUGCACAURYUGUGAGCUCGAUGAGUAGGGCGGGACACGUGGUAUCCUGUCUGAAUAUGGGGGGACCAUCCUCCAAGGCUAAAUACUCCUGACUGACCGAUAGUGAACCAGUACCGUGAGGGAAAGGCGAAAAGAACCCCGGCGAGGGGAGUGAAAAAGAACCUGAAACCGUGUACGUACAAGCAGUGGGAGCACGCUUAGGCGUGUGACUGCGUACCUUUUGUAUAAUGGGUCAGCGACUUAUAUUCUGUAGCAAGGUUAACCGAAUAGGGGAGCCGAAGGGAAACCGAGUCUUAACUGGGCGUUAAGUUGCAGGGUAUAGACCCGAAACCCGGUGAUCUAGCCAUGGGCAGGUUGAAGGUUGGGUAACACUAACUGGAGGACCGAACCGACUAAUGUUGAAAAAUUAGCGGAUGACUUGUGGCUGGGGGUGAAAGGCCAAUCAAACCGGGAGAUAGCUGGUUCUCCCCGAAAGCUAUUUAGGUAGCGCCUCGUGAAUUCAUCUCCGGGGGUAGAGCACUGUUUCGGCAAGGGGGUCAUCCCGACUUACCAACCCGAUGCAAACUGCGAAUACCGGAGAAUGUUAUCACGGGAGACACACGGCGGGUGCUAACGUCCGUCGUGAAGAGGGAAACAACCCAGACCGCCAGCUAAGGUCCCAAAGUCAUGGUUAAGUGGGAAACGAUGUGGGAAGGCCCAGACAGCCAGGAUGUUGGCUUAGAAGCAGCCAUCAUUUAAAGAAAGCGUAAUAGCUCACUGGUCGAGUCGGCCUGCGCGGAAGAUGUAACGGGGCUAAACCAUGCACCGAAGCUGCGGCAGCGACACUAUGUGUUGUUGGGUAGGGGAGCGUUCUGUAAGCCUGUGAAGGUGUGCUGUGAGGCAUGCUGGAGGUAUCAGAAGUGCGAAUGCUGACAUAAGUAACGAUAAAGCGGGUGAAAAGCCCGCUCGCCGGAAGACCAAGGGUUCCUGUCCAACGUUAAUCGGGGCAGGGUGAGUCGACCCCUAAGGCGAGGCCGAAAGGCGUAGUCGAUGGGAAACAGGUUAAUAUUCCUGUACUUGGUGUUACUGCGAAGGGGGGACGGAGAAGGCUAUGUUGGCCGGGCGACGGUUGUCCCGGUUUAAGCGUGUAGGCUGGUUUUCCAGGCAAAUCCGGAAAAUCAAGGCUGAGGCGUGAUGACGAGGCACUACGGUGCUGAAGCAACAAAUGCCCUGCUUCCAGGAAAAGCCUCUAAGCAUCAGGUAACAUCAAAUCGUACCCCAAACCGACACAGGUGGUCAGGUAGAGAAUACCAAGGCGCUUGAGAGAACUCGGGUGAAGGAACUAGGCAAAAUGGUGCCGUAACUUCGGGAGAAGGCACGCUGAUAUGUAGGUGAAGUCCCUCGCGGAUGGAGCUGAAAUCAGUCGAAGAUACCAGCUGGCUGCAACUGUUUAUUAAAAACACAGCACUGUGCAAACACGAAAGUGGACGUAUACGGUGUGACGCCUGCCCGGUGCCGGAAGGUUAAUUGAUGGGGUUAGCGCAAGCGAAGCUCUUGAUCGAAGCCCCGGUAAACGGCGGCCGUAACUAUAACGGUCCUAAGGUAGCGAAAUUCCUUGUCGGGUAAGUUCCGACCUGCACGAAUGGCGUAAUGAUGGCCAGGCUGUCUCCACCCGAGACUCAGUGAAAUUGAACUCGCUGUGAAGAUGCAGUGUACCCGCGGCAAGACGGAAAGACCCCGUGAACCUUUACUAUAGCUUGACACUGAACAUUGAGCCUUGAUGUGUAGGAUAGGUGGGAGGCUUUGAAGUGUGGACGCCAGUCUGCAUGGAGCCGACCUUGAAAUACCACCCUUUAAUGUUUGAUGUUCUAACGUUGACCCGUAAUCCGGGUUGCGGACAGUGUCUGGUGGGUAGUUUGACUGGGGCGGUCUCCUCCUAAAGAGUAACGGAGGAGCACGAAGGUUGGCUAAUCCUGGUCGGACAUCAGGAGGUUAGUGCAAUGGCAUAAGCCAGCUUGACUGCGAGCGUGACGGCGCGAGCAGGUGCGAAAGCAGGUCAUAGUGAUCCGGUGGUUCUGAAUGGAAGGGCCAUCGCUCAACGGAUAAAAGGUACUCCGGGGAUAACAGGCUGAUACCGCCCAAGAGUUCAUAUCGACGGCGGUGUUUGGCACCUCGAUGUCGGCUCAUCACAUCCUGGGGCUGAAGUAGGUCCCAAGGGUAUGGCUGUUCGCCAUUUAAAGUGGUACGCGAGCUGGGUUUAGAACGUCGUGAGACAGUUCGGUCCCUAUCUGCCGUGGGCGCUGGAGAACUGAGGGGGGCUGCUCCUAGUACGAGAGGACCGGAGUGGACGCAUCACUGGUGUUCGGGUUGUCAUGCCAAUGGCACUGCCCGGUAGCUAAAUGCGGAAGAGAUAAGUGCUGAAAGCAUCUAAGCACGAAACUUGCCCCGAGAUGAGUUCUCCCUGACYCYUURAGRGUCCUGAAGGAACGUUGAAGACGACGACGUUGAUAGGCCGGGUGUGUAAGCGCAGCGAUGCGUUGAGCUAACCGGUACUAAUGAACCGUGAGGCUUAACCUU